AGUGAACGCUGGCGGCGUGCCUAAUACAUGCAAGUCGAACGGAGUGGCGCCCGGGUGAGUCAUGUAUAGCUAAUCUGCCCUACACUAGAGGCCAACAGUUGGAAACGACUGCUCAUACUCUAUAGUGUAGGAUGAGGCUAUAUUGUAUCAGCUAGUUGGUGAGGUAAUGGCUCACCAAGGCUAUGACGCAUAACUGGUCUGAGAGGAGGAUCAGGCACACGGGAACUGAGACACGGUACAGAAGCCUACGGGAGGAAGCAGUAGGGAAUAUGGCUCAAUGGGGGAAACCCUGAAGAAGCAACGCCGCGUGGAGGAUGACACUUUUCGGAGCGUAAACGACUUUUGUUAGGGAAGCGGUACCUAACGAAUAAGCACAGGCUAACUACGUGCCAGCAGCCACGGUAAUUC
rnacentral:rRNA from 1 species